rnacentral:rRNA from 1 species
UCUGGUUGAUCCUGGCGGAGGCCAUUGCUAUCGGAGUUCGAUUAAGCCAUGCGAGUUGAGAGGUGCAAGACCUCGGCAUACUGCUCAGUAACACGUGGACAACCUACCCUAAGGAGGGGGAUAACCCCGGGAAACUGGGGAUAAUACCCCAUAGACUAUGGAUGCUGGAAUGCUUUGUAGUCGAAAGGUCCGCCGCCUUAGGAUGGGUCUGCGGCCGAUUAGGUUGUUGUUGGGGUAACGGCCCAACAAGCCUGUAAUCGGUACGGGUUGUGGGAGCAAGAGCCCGGAGAUGGAUUCUGAGACACGAAUCCAGGCCCUACGGGGCGCAGCAGGUGCGAAAACUUUACAAUGCGGGAAACCGUGAUAAGGGAACUCCGAGUGCCCGUUAAAUCGGGCUGUCCACCAGUUUAAAUAACUGGUGAAGAAAGGGCCGGGCAAGACCGGUGCCAGCCGCCGCGGUAAUACCGGCGGCUCGAGUGGUGGCCACUAUUACUGGGCUUAAAGCGUUCGUAGCUGGUUUGUUAAGUCUCUGGGGAAAUCUACCGGCUUAACCGGUAGGCGUCUCAGGGAUACUGGCAGACUAGGGACCGGGAGAGGUGAGAGGUACUCCAGGGGUAGGAGUGAAAUCCUGUAAUCCUUGGGGGACCACCUGUGGCGAAGGCGUCUCACCAGAACGGCUCCGACAGUGAGGGACGAAAGCUGGGGGAGCAAACCGGAUUAGAUACCCGGGUAGUCCCAGCUGUAAACGAUGCGCGUUAGGUGUAUCGGUGACCACGAGUCACCGAGGUGCCGAAGAGAAAUCGUGAAACGUGCCGCCUGGGAAGUACGGUCGCAAGGCUGAAACUUAAAGGAAUUGGCGGGGGAGCACCACAACGGGUGGAGCCUGCGGUUUAAUCGGACUCAACGCCGGAAAUCUCACCGGACAAGACAGCUGAAUGAUAGUCGGGCUGAAGACUCUACUUGACUAGCUGAGAGGAGGUGCAUGGCCGUCGUCAGUUCGUACUGUGAAGCAUCCUGUUAAGUCAGGCAACGAGCGAGACCCA